CCUACGGGAGGCAGCAGUGGGGAAUAUUGGACAAUGGGCGCUAGCCUGAUGCAGCCACGUAGCGUGGAGGAUGACUGCCCUCUGGGUUGUAACCUUCUUUUAUAUGGGAGUAAAUUGCAGUAUGUAUACUUCUUUGCAUGUACCUUAUGACUAAGUGUCGGCUAACUCCGUACCAGACGCCGCGGUAAGACGGAGGAUCCGAGCGUUAUGCGGAUUGAUUGGGGUUAAAGGGAGCGUAGGCGGGUUGUUAAGUCAGUUGUGAAAGUUUGCGGCUCAACCGUACAGUUGCAGUUGAUACUGGAAGACUUGAGUACAGUAGAGGUAGGUGGAAUUCGUGGUGUAGCGGUGAAAUGCGUAGAUAUCACGAAGAACUCCGAUGGCGAAGGCAGCUUGCUGGACUGUAACUGACGCUGAGGCUCGAAAGUGUGGGUAGCAAACAGGAUUAGAUACCCGGGUAGUC
rnacentral:rRNA from 1 species